AGAGUUUGAUCCUGGCUCAGAGUUUGAUCCUGGCUCAGAAUGAACGCUGGCGGCGUGCCUAACACAUGCAAGUCGGAUGUGCCGCAAGGUGCAUGGCAGACGGGUGAGUAACGCGUGGGGAAUCUACCUCUUUGUGGGGAAUAACGCUCCGAAAGGAGUGGUAAUACCGCAUGAGAUCCAUGGCUGGGAUGCUGUGGAUGAAACCUGGGGACCGCAAGGCCUGGGGCAAGGAGAGGAUCCUGCGUCUGAUUAGCUAGUUGGUGAGGUAAUGGCCCACCAAGGCGACGAUCAGUAGCCGGCCUGAGAGGGUGAUCGGCCACACUGGAACUGAGACACGGUCCAGACUCCUACGGGAGGCAGCAGUGGGGAAUUUUGCGCAAUGGGCGAAAGCCUGACGCAGCAACGCCGCGUGGGUGAUGAAGGUCUUCGG
rnacentral:rRNA from 1 species